rnacentral:lncRNA from 1 species
GGUGACAGGGAGGGUAAAUCUCCUGAAACUGGGGGCAAGGUAAAGAUGGGAACCACAGAGAACCAGGGGUUCUUUGGAGGACUGGGUUUGGGAGAAGACUAUUUCAGCUCAGAGCCCACAACCCAGGUCAAUGGCCUGGUCUUACCCUGGUCUCUAUGCUGGGCCCACAGAUUGACCAGAAGCUUCUGGAGCAGAUAGAAACAGAAGGCUUAAGGUCCAAGACCAUGGAAAAGAGAAGUAGACGAGUCCCAUCCCUCCAGAAGAGGCCCCCAGAAGGCCUGGGGUCAGGAACAAAACUGGCUGACAGGACAAACCUACAGAAGAGGAUCGCCUUCCAGCCUUGGACUCCUUCCACCACCAUCUUCUCCCCAUUGCAAACAGUCAAGCAGAACAUCCCCCUGCAACACUGGGAGUCAAGUGGGGAACAACCCUUGGGGACAAGGGACACCAAUCCUGCUUCCUUCCUAUCCCCUGGAACCAUAUUACUGGCUGGGAGUCCCUGGAAGAAGUACGAUGGGGCGUUACAGUGGGACCUCUUGAGGCUGAACCCAGACAAGAGAAAAAUACCUGAGGAUGUCGCUUCCCCAGCCCCCCACAACCUCGCAGGAGCCCAGUGCAGAAAGCUGAGUGGCUGCCUUGAACGGGAGGCCACUUUCUACCGGAGUAACAGCUCUGAAAUCCUGCGCCCAACAUCACCAGAAGGACAGACUCGUCUCUCUUGGCAAGUCCCAAGCAGCGGUGCCGCACUUCCUGAGGCCCAAAGAUUAAGCCUAGAACCCAGAGCCAGACCUCUCAGCUCCUUGAGUGGGAACCCUGCUGAGAAACUGCCUAACAAGAUCAUCCUACCCAGAUGGACACCUUCCUUUAAGCUCCAGAGGAAGACUGGACCUUUGGAGAGAACUACACAAGGCUUCAUGCGGCCUCCAGCUCCUGGCCACGUCACUGGACCUGGGACUGCGGAUGAGACAGCGAGGGCUCCCAACCUCAGCACGGAGGAAAAGGAGAAGCUCUAG